rnacentral:tRNA from 1 species
GGACAAGGGCUGUGACUCAGUGGUAGAAUAUCUGCUUUGCAUUGCAGAAGGUCUCAGGAUCAAUCCUUGGCCUCUCCA